rnacentral:rRNA from 1 species
CGAAAGCGGCAUACUGGACCAUAACUGACGCUGAGGCGCGAAAGCUAGGGGAGCAAACAGGAUUAGAUACCCUGGUAGUCCUAGCCCUAAACGAUGGAUGUUUGGUGUGACAGGUACCCAAUCCUGUCGUGCCGGAGCUAACGCGUUAAACAUCCCGCCUGGGGAGUACGGUCGCAAAGGCUGAAACUCAAAGGAAUUGACGGGGGCCCGCACAAGCGGUGGAGCAUGUGGUUCAAUUCGACGCAACGCGAAGAACCUUACCUGGGCUCGAAAUGUUGUGGACCGGGGUAGAAAUAUCCCUUCCCGCAAGGGCUGCAAUAUAGGUGCUGCAUGGCUGUCCUCAGCUCGUGUCGUGAGAUGUUGGGUUAAGUCCCGCAACGAGCGCAACCCUUAUUGCCAGUUGCCAGCAAGUAAAGUUGGGCACUCUGGCGAAACCGCCCCGGAUAACGGGGAGGAAGGUGGGGAUGACGUCAAGUCCUCAUGGCCUUUAUGUCCAGGGCUACGCACGUGCUACAAUGGGUGGUACAAACCGUCGCAAACCCGCGAGGGGGAGCUACUCGGAAAAAGCCAUCCUCAGUUCGGAUUGGACUCUGCAGAGCGACUCCAUGAAGCUGGAAUCGCUAGUAAUCGCAGAUCAGCACGCUGCGGUGAAUACGUUCC